AUGGCAGCUGCCCACCCCGUGGUUCCCCUGGGUCUGCUUUUUAUGCGCAGACUCCAGCGGUGGUUUGCUCGCCAACGGUUGGACCCCAGACGACACAAGCUCAGGGUGCUCCUCGUCCCCCGUUCGGUGUCGCCAGACCUGGAAUAUUGGAAAGGACCCUCCGCCCUUCUCAAGGGUGUUCCACUGGGCAGGGUGGCGUCCUACGUAGUGGUCUUCACGGACGCCUCGUUGACGGGUUGGGGAGGAACGUGCCUCUCUCACUCGGUCGGAGACGAGUGGCGCACGCCCCCUACAGCACACAUAAAUGUGUUGGAGCUCGACGCUGUGAGGAAAGUGCUGUUGCAUUUCUUUCACCUGGUGCGCGGCCGCCACGUUCUGAUCAGGAAAGACAGCGUGUCGGCGGCGGCGUACAUCAACAGACAGGGGGGAGUCCGCUCCCCUGCUCUCCACCGAAAGGCGGUCGAGCUCUGGCUUUGGGCUCAUCAGUAUCUCCGCAGUCUGAGAGCCCUGCAUAUCGCGGGCGCCCAGAACUUUGGGGCGGACCUCAUGUCUCGAGGCGGUCCCCGCCGAGACGAGUGGCGGUUACAUCCCGACAUUGUCAGACUGAUCUGGCAGAGGUUCGGGACAGCGCAGGUGGACCUCUUCGCGUCCCGGGAGAACACGCACUGCAGGUGGUGGUUCUCCCUCAGCCCUCGGGAUCUUCCCCCGUUGGGGGUAGAUGCGUUGGCACACACACCUUGGCCGCGGGCUCUCUUGUAUGCGUUUCCCCCGCUCCAGCUGAUCCUUCCUCUUCUGGAACGGGUCAGACAGUUGAGACUGUCCCUGAUAUUAGUGGCCCCGGAGAACCGUUCAGCUCUGUGGUUUCCAGAGCUGGCCGCGCUCUCGCGGUCGGCGCCUUGGCCAGUACCAUUCAGGCCGGAUGCGCUUUCACAGGCCCACGGGACGGUGCACCACCCGCCCGAUGUCUCGGGACGGCUGUUGGUUUGGCUCCUGAGAGGUUGA
rnacentral:lncRNA from 1 species